rnacentral:rRNA from 1 species
AGUGGCGCACGGGUGAGUAACGCGUGGAUAAUCUACCCUUUAGUUGGGAAUAACUCAUCGAAAGGUGGGCUAAUACCCGAUAAUACUGCCUGCGGCAAAGGUACACUAAAGGAUGAGUCCGCGUACCAUUAGCUAGUUGGUAGGGUAAUAGCCUACCAAGGCGACGAUGGUUAGCUGGUCUGAGAGGAUGAUCAGCCACACUGGAACUGAGACACGGUCCAGACUCCUACGGGAGGCAGCAGUGAGGAAUCUUGCGCAAUGGGGGAAACCCUGACGCAGCAACGCCGCGUGAGUGAGGAAGGUUUUCGGAUCGUAAAGCUCUGUCAGGUGAGAAGAAUGACGGUACCACCAGAGGAAGCACCGGCCAACUCCGUGCCAGCAGCCGCGGUAAUACGGGGGGUGCAAGCGUUGUUCGGAAU